AAACCCCAAGGUUUGAAGUUCCCUUUUCUCCUACAAUAAAGAAUAAGUGGUUACUAUUCAGACAGUCAUAUGUUAUAAUUGUUACAGAUUCCUUCCAUAAGCAGUUAGUAGAGAUUGAUUUGAUGCUUGCCUGUGUGGGAGAACUGAACACUACAAUUCGUGGUGGUGUUCAUUGGUCAAUACUUUACGGAGUUGAUUUUGGAUGUGUACGAUUGUCAGCUGGGAUUGUUACGAAUUGGACCAUUUAAUUAUGAUCCUCUGUGAGGUGUUGACCUCUGGUUAGAGCAGACAGAUGAUUUCAUUUUCCAGCAUUUGUCCACAGCACCAGAAGUAGAGCCACCUCAUUUUGUCAUGCAGUAGAAUGUGUGCGGGCAACAUUGAAGUACAUCCAAGACCAUCCAUUCCCAGAUGUGACAGUGUUCCAAGAUAAGCGGUCACUCUACUACCGGAGGGAUGAAAACAGUGGAACGUGGGUUCCGAUACAAUAUUGAAACACUAGUGUAGGAAUCUGGACACUCUUGGCUAAGGUUAUUACUUUUGGGAAAGUAGAAUGUCCAUUACCCAGAAAUAAUUUUCAUAGUAAAUAAACUUAUGAGCACACAGAUAUUGAUUGACGUAAUACUGUUUCUUGAUAUGGUAUUUAAACUGUUAAUGCAAUUAAAAUGUGUUUAACGUGAUCAUAUAUUUGCAGUCAUGUGAAAUAUAAAACAUGUUGAGUCACAAUGUAUUUCACAUUUAUAUUUGCAAAUUGAAUUAAAUACCAUUUUUACAGAAUAUGACAUUGUACAUGAUUAAGAAUGAAGCCAAAAUUAUAUGCGUAGUGUAGGAUAUAGGGAUAUAAUGCAUAAUGAAAGUAUAAGUUUAUUAAUUUUUGUACUUAGCAUCCUGAUGCUAAGAAUGUAUUAUCAGUGCAGAAUAUUCUACUCCAAAGCCUUGUAGCCAGAUACAUUUUUCGUCAGUUCAUUUCGUAUCAUAUUGUAUCAUGUUUUAUUAAAACAGUGGAACUUUAUGCAACUUCACAUCAGUAACAGUGACCAUGAUAUAUGCAUCGUCAGUCAAAAUGCAAGUGUUCAUGAGUUUAUGGUGCAAGUUAACACUGUUGUUGUUUCUCAACAUGACGUUGGCAGGAGGGAGUGUGAUUAUGAACUAUGACAUUCCAUCUUGCCUCAUUGUCUGUGACUUACACAGAUGCCACUGACCAUGGAGUGAAAUGUUCACUGUUGCGCAGUCAAACACAUACAGGAAAGUAUCAUUUUAAAAUAGUUAACACUGGACAAGUGUUUUGAAAAGGAUUAUACAUAAUAGAAUAAGAUAUGCAAGUUUGUUUUACUCUGUUUUCAUAUCUAAAAUGUCUUAUGUCCUGAGACUGUAUGUGAUUGCUUAUUUCUGCUUAAGUUAGGUGAAAUAUGGAU